ncrna:unclassified sequences ROOL RNA
AUGAAUAUUGAAAACGAUUUUUAACCAUGUGUAUGCCGUUGGUCAACGGGUCAUGGGAGCAGUUAAACUCGCGGACAUAAGAGGAUACCCUUAUGUAUAGGCAGAGAGUUAGUUAUCAGUAAUGAUAAUUAAUACGACCAGAUAAGCUGGUGAAUUAAUUGCUGCGCAAGUAAUAAUCGUGAACGCAAAAAGUCUAGUCACCUGGGGUGGAACAAUAGACGGCUCUGUGAGCAAGAAUCCAAGUUAGGGUUGGGGUGGAAGCCAAUCAGUCCUUGGAAAUCCAAUAAUCCACUCUGUAGUUGAAGCCGAGAAAUUGGCUAUAACCAGGGCAGCUAGGACGAGUAGCCGAAGCUACAGCAUAUUGACUAAUUAAUGGCUCGUGAAAGAGUGAAAUGAAAAGAAAAUUUGCUGAAUGACUGGUGAAAGUUGGAGGUAAAGUCCUCCUGCGGAAAAUGGCUUUUAGCUGGGGUAAGAAGCAAUAAGGUAGCUCCUUAUUGUUCAGCCUUAUCUCCCGCAUGACUGAAUAUUGGGCGUUUAUUAUUUGUAGGGCGAAGGUCCAAAAAUGUUUUCUAUAUUCG